CUGGUGGGUAGUUUGACUGGGGCGGUCUCCUCCUAAAGAGUAACGGAGGAGCACGAAGGUUGGCUAAUCCUGGUCGGACAUCAGGAGGUUAGUGCAAUGGCAUAAGCCAGCUUGACUGCGAGCGUGACGGCGCGAGCAGGUGCGAAAGCAGGUCAUAGUGAUCCGGUGGUUCUGAAUGGAAGGGCCAUCGCUCAACGGAUAAAAGGUACUCCGGGGAUAACAGGCUGAUACCGCCCAAGAGUUCAUAUCGACGGCGGUGUUUGGCACCUCGAUGUCGGCUCAUCACAUCCUGGGGCUGAAGUAGGUCCCAAGGGUAUGGCUGUUCGCCAUUUAAAGUGGUACGCGAGCUGGGUUUAGAACGUCGUGAGACAGUUCGGUCCCUAUCUGCCGUGGGCGCUGGAGAACUGAGGGGGGCUGCUCCUAGUACGAGAGGACCGGAGUGGACGCAUCACUGGUGUUCGGGUUGUCAUGCCAAUGGCACUGCCCGGUAGCUAAAUGCGGAAGAGAUAAGUGCUGAAAGCAUCUAAGCACGAAACUUGCCCCGAGAUGAGUUCUCCCUGAGACUUAAAGUCUCCUGAAGGAACGUUGAAGACGACGACGUUGAUAGGCCGGGUGUGUAAGCGCAGCGAUGCGUUGAGCUAACCGGUACUAAUGAACCGUGAGGCUUAACCUU
rnacentral:rRNA from 1 species